GAGUGCCAUUGAGAAAGAAGCAGAGGAUGGAUUUGAGUGGAUAAAGUAAGGUGUGGAUGUGAAAUGAGCUUCCUUUUUUCUAUAAUGCCGGAUAUGUGUUGCAUGGUAACUCUUUGUUGUGUGAUGAAAGUUAAUAUCAUCAUUGUCAUAGAGUGAAAUAUAUUGAGGAUAUGGAGUUGUGAUCAUUACCAUUUGCUGUUAGUCCUGAACUUGAGCCUUAUUUUGAUACAUAAAUAAGUUAUCUUUGAAGUAACUUAGUUGCUCAUUGUGUUUGAUAGUUGAUCAUGAUUUUGUGCUAUUCCUAGUUGCAUUCCAUAUCUUGCUGCUUUCACUGUAAUGGCAGAAAAUAUGUUAAAAAUGAUCUCCAACAUCUGUCCCUGGUGUUUAUAUUUUGGCCUUCAGGCUGAAAAUAGAAAACUUUAUGCAAUUGAGGUAGACAAAAAUGCUUUCGGCUGUAAGAGACCACCUGGUUUGAAAUGAAAGAUCUAUAUCUUCAAACCAGCCCUCUUCUGAAUGCUUAUAUUAAUAUGAUCAAUGGGGCAUUGACAAACUAAAAAUUACACAAUUGAGGAAUAAAAUUAACAAAAAUGCCUAACAAGACCUUGUCAUGCGCAUUGAAGCUGUGGCAGCAUGUUUUUGAUAAGCCAUUCUGAUAAAUAUUUGUUUGCUUGAUGUGUAAAAUGUGCUACAUCCCAAAACACAUAUUCUGCAGGAUUCGAGCAAACUGGCACACCAGCUUGUCCACAACCUUGAGCACGGUCACGACUGUAAUUAUAUUUUCCUCCAAUCCCGCAACAAGCUUGUGUUAAUGAUUUAAAUCCAAGUUUUGAAAAAUUAUCCAGAAUCGAUUGUAAUGCAUUGUAAAUAUCGCCAUAUAUGAUAUGUAUGUUAGGGUAUUCCUUUCUCAAUCCCUCAAGAGCUACUUGGAGAUGGCUAUUGUGAUACAUAAAGAAGUCAUUGUAAUCCUUUAGACAACCAUGUGCAUCGUAAGCAGCAGAUGUGUUUGUUGAAAACAUUGUAAGCAAGCCUGGCGUGCAACCCAUUUGAAAGGUUCCGGUGACGACCACUUGAGUUGCGCCGAAACUGAUAAUUUUCUGUGAACAAUUAAGGUGAGAGUUAAGAACUGGAUAACGGUAAUUGAAAGUUGCACGCACACACGCACACAACACUAACUUUGACUGAAUCUAUUAUGGUUUGCACCACUCCAGGCACCAUGAUGUUCUUUAUCUCUUCAAGGGUUUUGUUUUGACCAAAUGCAAGAUUAUAA
rnacentral:misc_RNA from 1 species